rnacentral:rRNA from 1 species
AGAGUUUGAUCCUGGCUCAGGACGAACGCUGGCGGCACGCUUAACACAUGCAAGUCGAACGAGAGAAGAGGAGCUUGCUUUUCUGAUCUAGUGGCGGACGGGUGAGUAACACGUGAGCAAUCUGCCUUUCAGAGGGGGAUACCGAUUGGAAACGAUCGUUAAUACCGCAUAACAUAAUUGAACCGCAUGAUUUGAUUAUCAAAGAUUUAUCGCUGAAAGAUGAGCUCGCGUCUGAUUAGCUAGUUGGUAAGGUAACGGCUUACCAAGGCGACGAUCAGUAGCCGGACUGAGAGGUUGAUCGGCCACAUUGGGACUGAGACACGGCCCAGACUCCUACGGGAGGCAGCAGUGGGGAAUAUUGCACAAUGGAGGAAACUCUGAUGCAGCGAUGCCGCGUGAGGGAAGAAGGUUUUAGGAUUGUAAACCUCUGUCUUCAGGGACGAAAAAAGACGGUACCUGAGGAGGAAGCUCCGGCUAACUACGUGCCAGCAGCCGCGGUAAUACGUAGGGAGCGAGCGUUGUCCGGAAUUACUGGGUGUAAAGGGAGCGUAGGCGGGAUCGCAAGUCAGAUGUGAAAACUAUGGGCUUAACCCAUAAACUGCAUUUGAAACUGUGGUUCUUGAGUGAAGUAGAGGUAAGCGGAAUUCCUAGUGUAGCGGUGAAAUGCGUAGAUAUUAGGAGGAACAUCAGUGGCGAAGGCGGCUUACUGGGCUUUAACUGACGCUGAGGCUCGAAAGCGUGGGGAGCAAACAGGAUUAGAUACCCUGGUAGUCCACGCCGUAAACGAUGAUUACUAGGUGUGGGGGGACUGACCCCCUCCGUGCCGCAGCAAACGCAAUAAGUAAUCCACCUGGGGAGUACGACCGCAAGGUUGAAACUCAAAGGAAUUGACGGGGGCCCGCACAAGCAGUGGAGUAUGUGGAUUAAUUCGAAGCAACGCGAAGAACCUUACCAGGUCUUGACAUCGUAUGCAUAGCUCAGAGAUGAGUGAAAUCUCUUCGGAGACAUAUAGACAGGUGGUGCAUGGUUGUCGUCAGCUCGUGUCGUGAGAUGUUGGGUUAAGUCCCGCAACGAGCGCAACCCUUACUGUUAGUUGCUACGCAAGAGCACUCUAGCAGGACUGCCGUUGACAAAACGGAGGAAGGUGGGGAUGACGUCAAAUCAUCAUGCCCCUUAUGACCUGGGCCUCACACGUACUACAAUGGCUGUCAACAGAGGGAAGCAAAGCCGCGAGGUGGAGCGAACCCCUAAAAGCAGUCUUAGUUCGGAUUGUAGGCUGCAACCCGCCUACAUGAAGUCGGAAUUGCUAGUAAUCGCAGAUCAGCAUGCUGCGGUGAAUACGUUCCCGGGCCUUGUACACACCGCCCGUCACGCCAUGGGAGUCGGUAACACCCGAAGCCUGUAGUCUAACCGCAAGGAGGACGCAGUCGAAGGUGGGAUUGAUGACUGGGGUGAAGUCGUAACAAGGUA